rnacentral:rRNA from 1 species
UACGGGGGGGGCAAGCGUUGUUCGGAAUUACUGGGCGUAAAGGGCUCGUAGGUGGCCAACUAAGUCAGACGUGAAAUCCCUCGGCUUAACCGGGGAACGGCGUCUGAUACUGGAUGGCUUGAGUUCGGGAGAGGGAUGCGGAAUUCCAGGUGUAGCGGUGAAAUGCGUAGAUAUCUGGAGGAACACCGGUGGCGAAGGCGGCUUCCUGGACCGACACUGACGCUGAGGCGCGAAAGCCAGGGGAGCAAACGGG